rnacentral:misc_RNA from 1 species
UUUCCGUAGGUGAACCUGCGGAAGGAUCAUUAUUGUAUAACCGAGGUGCGAGGGCUGUCGCUGACCCGAAAGGUCGUGCACGCCCGAGUGCCCUCACACACAUCCAUCUCACCCCUGUGUGCACCACCGCGUGGGUCCCCCUUUGGCUUGUUCGGAGGGGGGCUUACGUUUUCACACAAACUUUGUAUGCAGUGUAGAAUGUAUUUUUUGUUUUUGCGAUCACGCAAUCAAUACAACUUUCAACAACGGAUCUCUUGGCUCUC